CGAGGGGCGCCAUGGCGGCAGGGGCGGCCUGAGGGGGCCCCGCCGCGACGGCUGGGGCGGUGGGGAGGCACUGGGCAGGGCAAAGAACACGCACUCCGGUCACCCCUGGCUGCCAGCGGAGCCGCCUCGGUGUUGAUGCCUGCGUUACUUUGCGCGCUCCGCCCCCCCGGAGAAACCUCAUCCUACUUAAUAGUGCCGACCGCAAGCGCCCAGCAGUCAUGAGUCACCGUGCCGAGCAUCGCGCGGGGAGCUUUCCCAGGAUCUCUUCAGCUGAUACGUCACCUAUGGCAAACAACAGAACAAAACCCAAAGCAGAGCCCUUGUUCAGCAAUGAUCUCCACACAGAAGAAACAGCCUGCCAAAGACAGAGGUUCUGAAGUGGCAGGAUGACACAGCAGAAGAAAAAGCACAGCCAGGAAGGUCACUUCUGAAACAGGAAUGAUUUGUAUCAUCCAUGCAUUGGAGAAGUGCCUUUGCAGCCCACUGGAUACCGUGUCCUACUGACUUCACCAGGAGUUACAUGACUCUAACUGGGACUGUUGCUGACCCCAGAGACCUUGAUGAACACCAUCCAUUUCCUCACCAACUACUAUGCUUUUUUUGCAGUGGGACUAGAAAACGUCAUAGAACACCUGUAAAAAUUUGUCCAAAAUGCUGUGUUUCUCCUCUUUUCUAAGUGCUACAAGCUCUCCUCCUCAUCUUCUUCCCAGUCAAGGAAAUAAUGUUACUGUGCAGAACUGAAACGGGUAUUUCUGACAUUUUUUGGCUGCUGAUGUACUCUGGGAGGAAUUGCUACAUGCCCUUCUCCCAGCUGAAAACCAAGUAAAAGCAAACAUUAACCAUAAUACUGAUUAAUAACUAGCUGUGAUUUCUGUUAACAAAGCUUUUUUACACACACAGUGGAGAAGCAGCAGACUGUAGGUUGUUAACAAUAUAUUGUCUUCUCUCUUUUGUUAGAAUGGCAUUUCAUCACCUCAUUUUAUUUGUUCCAUCUGUUUCAUACUGACUUUGCUAUAAUGCUACUUUGAGAAUACUGUGAUUGUUUGUUUGUAUUGAUAUCAGAAAUAAAUAUAAAAUGUUUUUGAAAGCACCAUAAGGAUGGAGGGUUUGAUGGGAUUAUGGUAAAAGCAAGCAAGCUGUGAACAGAGACACAGACUGCUGCAAGAAUCCCUGGAAGAAAUGAGUUAGAGGUUAUUAAGGGAGAAAGGAGAAGAAAGAUGUUCUUGUGACUAGGGCACUGGACUGAUAUUAAAGAGGUCUGGUCUUUGUUCCUGAUACAUUAUUGGAUUCCUUUGCGACCUGUGAUGAGUCAUUUAGUCUCUCAUUGCCUCAGUUCUUUACCACUAAAAUGGAAGUAAAUAAAAUUUCUUUACCUCACCAAUCUAUUUCAGAGACAAAUCCAUUCAAAAGUUAUGAAAUGCUCAGCUGUUAAAGUGAUGAGCACAGGGGAAAAUGAGUAAAUCAAUGAAUUCUAACUCUGCUUGUGAUGAGUUUAGUGAGACAUUUCUCCAGCCAGUGAACCUGCUAUGAAGGCAAACACCGGCUUUUUCCUAGUCAGAGAAAUGUCAAUGAUCAGUUUUUUGUGAAGUAGUAGCAAAGUCUGAGAUAUUUUUAAUGAUAAUGCAUCAGUAAAGGGGGAAAAAAAAAGAAAAAAACCCGCUUUUUCUUAUUACAUCAAGGAAGAAAAGACCCAAGAGAGGGAAUGAUAGAUGUCCUAACUGUAUAAAAUGAAAGCUUGAAUAGAGAAAAUGUACAACUUUUCUGUCACUGGGAAUCUUUUAAAGAUUAAAACAUACAUGAGCUUGACUUUUCACUUGCACAGUCAAUUACACCCACUAAUAGUGUGAAUAAAGUACUUCACAUAUA